rnacentral:rRNA from 1 species
GUGGGGAAUUUUGGACAAUGGGCGCAAGCCUGAUCCAGCCAUUCCGCGUGAGUGAAGAAGGCCUUCGGGUUGUAAAGCUCUUUCAGCAGGAACGAAACGGUCUUUCCUAAUACGGAGGGCUAAUGACGGUACCUGCAGAAGAAGCACCGGCUAACUACGUGCCAGCAGCCGCGGUAAUACGUAGGGUGCGAGCGUUAAUCGGAAUUACUGGGCGUAAAGCGUGCGCAGGCGGUUCUAUAAGACAGAUGUGAAAUCCCCGGGCUCAACCUGGGAACUGCGUUUGUGACUGUAGGACUCGAGUGUGGCAGAGGGGGGUGGAAUUCCACGUGUAGCAGUGAAAUGCGUAGAUAUGUGGAGGAACAUCGAUGGCGAAGGCAGCCCCCUGGGUCAACACUGACGCUCAUGCACGAAAGCGUGGGGAGCAAACAGGAUUAGAAACCCCAGUAGUCC